CUGCUGCCUUCCGUAGGAGUCUGGUCCGUGUCUCAGUACCAGUGUGGGGGACCUUCCUCUCAGAACCCCUACGCAUCGUCGCCUUGGUGGGCCGUUACCCCGCCAACUAGCUAAUGCGACGCAUGACCAUCCGUAGCCGGAAUCGCUUCCUUUAAACCCGAGGAGAUGCCUCCUCGGGUUGUUACGCGGUAUUAGACGGAAUUUCUUCCGCUUAUCCCCCUGCUACGGGCAGGUUUCAUACGUGUUACUCACCCGUGCGCCGGUCGCCGGCGGGAA
rnacentral:rRNA from 1 species